GAUGAACGCUGGCGGCGUGCCUAAUACAUGCAAGUCGAGCGAACAGACGAGGAGCUUGCUCCUCUGACGUUAGCGGCGGACGGGUGAGUAACACGUGGAUAACCUACCUAUAAGACUGGGAUAACUUCGGGAAACCGGAGCUAAUACCGGAUAAUAUAUUGAACCGCAUGGUUCAAUAGUGAAAGACGGUUUUGCUGUCACUUAUAGAUGGAUCCGCGCCGCAUUAGCUAGUUGGUAAGUUAACGGCUUACCAAGGCAACGAUGCGUAGCCGACCUGAGAGGGUGUAGGCCCCCUCUGAACGUGAGCCGCGUCCAAGCCUCCUCGGGGAGGCCCAGGUUGGAAUUCUCCGCAACGGGGGGAAAGCUUGCCGAAGCACCGCGGCGUGGGUGAUGAAGGUCUUCGGGCGGUAAAACUCUCUUAUUGGGGAAAACCAAAUUUGUAGGUAACUAUGCCGGUCUGACGGUAACCUAUUCAGAAGGCCCGGCUAACUUCGUG
rnacentral:rRNA from 1 species